rnacentral:rRNA from 1 species
UACGGAGGGAGCUAGCGUUAUUCGGAAUUACUGGGCGUAAAGCGCACGUAGGCGGCUUUGUAAGUUAGAGGUGAAAGCCUGGAGCUCAACUCCAGAAUUGCCUUUAAGACUGCAUCGCUUGAAUCCAGGAGAGGUGAGUGGAAUUCCGAGUGUAGAGGUGAAAUUCGUAGAUAUUCGGAAGAACACCAGUGGCGAAGGCGGCUCACUGGACUGGUAUUGACGCUGAGGUGCGAAAGCGUGGGGAGCAAACAGGAUUAGAUACC